rnacentral:rRNA from 1 species
AUUGAACGCUGGCGGCAGGCCUAACACAUGCCAGUCGAGCGGAUGAAGGGAGCUUGCUCCUGGAUUCAGCGGCGGACGGGUGAGUAAUGCCUAGGAAUCUGCCUGGUAGUGGGGGAUAACGUCCGGAAACGGGCGCUAAUACCGCAUACGUCCUGAGGGAGAAAGUGGGGGAUCUUCGGACCUCACGCUAUCAGAUGAGCCUAGGUCGGAUUAGCUAGUUGGUGGGGUAAAGGCCUACCAAGGCGACGAUCCGUAACUGGUCUGAGAGGAUGAUCAGUCACACUGGAACGGAGACACGGUCCAGACUCCUACGGGAGGCAGCAGUGGGGAAUAUUGGACAAUGGGCGAAAGCCUGAUCCAGCCAUGCCGCGUGUGUGAAGAAGGUCUUCGGAUUGUAAAGCACUUUAAGUUGGGAGGAAGGGCAGUAAGUUAAUACCUUGCUGUUUUGACGGUACCAACAGAAGAAGCACCGGCUAACUUCGUG